UCUCCGUUGGUGAACCAGCGGAGGGAUCAUUACAGAGUUGCAAAACUCCCAAACCAUUGUGAACGUUACCUAUCCCGUUGCUUCGGCAGGCGGCCCGGGCCCCGCGCCCGGCGCCCCCCGGCCCCCCGUGGGCGCCCGCCGGAGGUAAACCAAACCCUUGAAUUGCAUGGCCUCUCUGAGUCUUCUGUACUGAAUAAGUCAAAACUUUCAACAACGGAUCUCUUGGUUCUGGCAUGAUGAAGAACGCAGC
rnacentral:misc_RNA from 1 species